AGAGUUUGAUCCUGGCUCAGGAUGAACGCUAGCGACAGGCUUAACACAUGCAAGUCGAGGGGCAGCAGGGGCGUAGCAAUACGCCUGCUGGCGACCGGCGCACGGGUGAGUAACACGUAUGAAACCUGCCCGUAGCAGGGGGAUAAGCGGAAGAAAUUCCGUCUAAUACCGCGUAAUAACCGUUUGGGGCAUCCCUUAAGGUUUAAAGGAGCGAUCCGGCUACGGAUGGUCAUGCGUCGCAUUAGCUAGUCGGCGGGGUAACGGCCCACCGAGGCGACGAUGCGUAGGGGUUCUGAGAGGAAGGUCCCCCACACUGGUACUGAGACACGGACCAGACUCCUACGGGAGGCAGCAGUGAGGAAUAUUGGUCAAUGGCCGGAAGGCUGAACCAGCCAAGUCGCGUGAGGGAAGACGGCCCUAUGGGUUGUAAACCUCUUUUGUCGGGGAGCAAAGGCCGCCACGCGUGGCGGAUUGAGAGUACCCGAAGAAAAAGCAUCGGCUAACUCCGUGCCAGCAGCCGCGGUAAUACGGAGGAUGCGAGCGUUAUCCGGAUUUAUUGGGUUUAAAGGGUGCGCAGGCGGGAUGUCAAGUCAGCGGUCAAAUCGAGGGGCUCAACCCCUUUCCGCCGUUGAAACUGGCGUCCUAGAGUGGGCGAGAAGUACGCGGAAUGCGUGGUGUAGCGGUGAAAUGCAUAGAUAUCACGCAGAACUCCGAUUGCGAAGGCAGCGUACCGGCGCCCAACUGACGCUCAUGCACGAAAGCGUGGGUAUCGAACAGGAUUAGAUACCCUGGUAGUCCACGCAGUAAACGAUGAAUACUAACUGUCCGGCCCGAUCGGGGGCUGGGCGGUAUAGCGAAAGCGUUAAGUAUUCCACCUGGGGAGUACGCCGGCAACGGUGAAACUCAAAGGAAUUGACGGGGGCCCGCACAAGCGGAGGAACAUGUGGUUUAAUUCGAUGAUACGCGAGGAACCUUACCCGGGCUCAAACGACGGAUGAAUGUUUUUGAAAGGAGGCAGCCCUUCGGGGCAUCCGUCGAGGUGCUGCAUGGUUGUCGUCAGCUCGUGCCGUGAGGUGUCGGCUUAAGUGCCAUAACGAGCGCAACCCCCAUCGCCAGUUACCAGCAAGUGAAGUUGGGGACUCUGGCGAGACUGCCGGCGCAAGCUGUGAGGAAGGCGGGGAUGACGUCAAAUCAGCACGGCCCUUACGUCCGGGGCGACACACGUGUUACAAUGGCAGGUACAGAGAGAUGCCACCUGGCGACAGGGAGCAGAACUCGAAAGCCUGUCUCAGUUCGGAUCGGAGUCUGCAACCCGACUCCGUGAAGCUGGAUUCGCUAGUAAUCGCGCAUCAGCCAUGGCGCGGUGAAUACGUUACCGGGCCUUGCACACACCGCCCGUCA
rnacentral:rRNA from 1 species